rnacentral:rRNA from 1 species
GACGAACGCUGGCGGCGUGCUUAACACAUGCAAGUCGAACGGAAAGGCCCUGCUUUUGUGGGGUGCUCGAGUGGCGAACGGGUGAGUAACACGUGAGUAACCUGCCCUUUACUUUGGGAUAACUUCAGGAAACUGUGGCUAAUACCGGAUAGGAGCUCCUGCUGCAUGGUGGGGGUUGGAAAGUUUCGGCGGUUGGGGAUGGACUCGCGGCUUAUCAGCUUGUUGGUGGGGUAGUGGCUUACCAAGGCUUUGACGGGUAGCCGGCCUGAGAGGGUGACCGGCCACAGUGGGACUGAGAUACGGCCCAGACUCCUACGGGAGGAAGCAGUGGGGAAUAUUGCAAAAUGGGCGGAAGCAGGAUGCAGCAACGCCGGGUGCGGGAUGACGGCCUUCGGGUUGUAAACCGCUUUCGCCUGUGACGAAGCGUGAGUGACGGUAAUGGGUAAAGAAGCACCGGCUAACUACGUG